AGUGAACGCUGGCGGUAGGCCUAACACAUGCAAGUCGAACGGCAGCACAGUAAGAGCUUGCUCUUACGGGUUGCGAGUGGCGGACGGGUGAGGUAUACAACGGAAUCUACAUUUUCGGGGGGGAUAACGAAGGGGCACCUAAGAUAAUACACCAUACGACAUACGAGCGAAAGCAGCGGAACUUCGGUCCUUUCGCGAAUGAAUGAGCCGAUGUUGAACUAGCUAGUUGGCGGGGUAAAGGCCCAGCAAGGCGACGAUACGUAGCUGGUCUGAGAGGACGGUAGGCGACAUUGGAACUGAGCCACGGUCACUGCUCCUAAGGGAGGCAGCAGUGGGGAAUAGUGGACAGUGGGGGGAAGCCUUAUACAGUCAGACCGCGUGGGUGAAGAAGGCCUUCGGGGUGUAAAGCCCUUUUGUUGGGAAAAAAAAGCAGCAGGUUGAUACGCCGCGGUACUGACGGUACCUAAAGAAUAAGCACCGGCUAACUUCGUG
rnacentral:rRNA from 1 species